rnacentral:lncRNA from 1 species
ACAUAAUGCAGUUUCUACUUCUUUCGAUUUUACCACUUGUGUUAGCAAAUACUAACUGCAACAGGUAUUGUACAUGUAGUGUUGAAAAGUGGAAAAAAAGUAAAAUAUACGUUGGAACAUGCGAUGGAGAUGGAAGAUCAAAACAAAAAUUGACAUACAUUCCGAAAUUCCCCGAGGGGACACGGAAGGUUGUAUUUAUAAACAACGACUUACAGAUACUAUCUAAAACAUCCCUAGGAAAUAUAUCAUUAGCGAGUUCUCAUGUAACUGACUUGAACUUAAAAUACAACAAUAUUACAUUCAUUCAC